rnacentral:rRNA from 1 species
UACGUAGGGUGCAAGCGUUGUCCGGAAUUAUUGGGCGUAAAGGGCUCGUAGGCGGUCUGUCACGUCGGGAGUGAAAACUCAGGGCUUAACCCUGAGCCUGCUUCCGAUACGGGCAGACUAGAGGUAUGCAGGGGAGAACGGAAUUCCUGGUGUAGCGGUGAAAUGCGCAGAUAUCAGGAGGAACACCGGUGGCGAAGGCGGGUCUCUGGGCCGUAACUGACGCUGAGGAGCGAAAGCAUGGGGAGCGAACAGG